CUCCCCGGGGCUUGAUUUCUGGCGACUCCCAGAAAGUUUCACCCUCUCGGGCUAAGUGCGCGCGGUAGCGUGUGUGCGCGCGGCGCGGUGAGCACCUCCCUCCCUCCGGGCAGGAAAGGAGCCCGCGCCCGGCUCAAGGAAAGCAGCCCGGCCCGGGACGCCGGCGCCCGCCCUCCCGGCCGCGAGCGCACUCACCUCGGGGAAGAAGUUGUCCAUUGUUCCCGUGCGCUCCCCAACUCGCCCGAGUCCGGCUCCCAGCUCGCGGAAGUCAGCCCAGCAGAAGGUCCGGGGAAACCAUGCGUGUCACAGCGCGACUCCCAGAAACUCGAGCCCGCGGGGCUCCCCCGCUGCCAUCUCCUUCUCCCCUUCUCGUCUUUCGCACCUUUUGUUUGCCCAAACCCAAGUCUCUAACUCAUCCGUCCCAACUGCAGCCUUUGUCUCCUCUUUCUCCAAGUUCCUCACUCCUGGGCGCCGCGCUCGCGAGCGGAGAACAGCUGGUGGCACAUUCUUCCCCCCGGCUGGGGGAGGGAGGCGGGGGGCUGGGGAGUGCGCCCCCUCCCUCUGCGCUCCGGCCGGAGGCACUCGGGGCGGGCAGGGGGACAACGGCCACAAAGCAAGCCCGAAAUGGCUCUCCCAGCUCGAGCGCCGCCCCGCUCGGCAGAUGAGCGACCCCGGGGACGGAAGCGCGGUCCGUGGAGCUGCCCCGGCUGUUGGGCCAGAUCAAAGCGGAGAAGGGAGGCUAAUCAGAAUUUCUGGAAGCUGCCUACCCGUGUGGAGUUUCUCCUGCACCCAGGAUAAAAGACGUUUUCAUCGCAGUGGGAAAAUGUAGUUUUGUAAACUGGAAGAGGACGUGGCCAAUUGCACUUUUCCUGGACCUAAAGGAAGCAGCAGAUAGUCAAAUGGAAGCGAGAUGGAUGAAGGAUCAAACCCCCCUGGUACUGAGUCCUGGUUUCUCUGGGGCAGGUCCUCAAACUUUCGCGUGCACAGGAAUCACCUGGGAAUCUUGUUAAAAUGCAGACUGGAAUUGAGUGGGAUGAGCGCUGAUAAUCUGCAUUUCCAGCAAGUUUCAGGUGCCUUCAAUGGAUGGCACCUGGCCUUGUGCUGUUCUGCAAACUGUUUGGAACCUGUCUGUAACAAGUAGAGAAAUUGAGAGCAAAGGUUUAGAAACUUUUGUAGCAAUUUAUAAAAUGCCACGACAUACAAGCACAUGAUCUGUGGUCUCUUUGAACCGAGUAUAAACCAGUUUGGGUGUUGUCAGACUCGUGGUGACUCAUACCUGGCACAGCAGGGUUUUCCUAUUGGUACCUGGCAGAUUGGAAACAGAAACAACUGGUUCUUCACCACAAAUGGUUUGAAAAGUUCUCUCUAGGGGAUUUGCCAACUGCUCCCAUCCUUUAAGACUCAAGUCAGAAAGUCACAUCUUCCAUGGGAAGCCUGCCCAGAGAUGUCCAGCUACUCAUGCCACUUCCAGCUCCACUUAACCAGCAGGCGUGGCUUAUUCCUACAACUACCGAGGAAACUAUAUCUUGUUGGGGAUUGUGAGCAAUUGGGCCACCAGAAUAAUGCUGACAAGCUGAUUUGAGUGACUUUCAUUCACCUUGGACACAGGAGGACUGCAGUACUCUUCGCCAACAGUCCCCCAGUGACCUUGGGCUUAGCCUGUGUGUGGACUCCUGGGUCAGGUCUCACCUAUGUGUUCCAACCGGCAGUGGUACUGCCCAAGCCUACAGCAUCAUUGGGCAGUGGGGAGCUGGCAGCCGUCUUUGCCCUGUGUGCGUUCCACCCCUGGCACGCAGGAGGGUCAUUGUAGUCCUUCCACUGGCGCUGCUUCUCAUGUCAGGCAGUCUUCCUGGGUUAACUGCACCCAUCUCCUCCUUGAUUUUCUAGACAGCUGCCCUGCAGUGUCAAUCGGCCCUUGCUAUCAAUGUCCUUACUUGCCUCAAAUCCGUGUGGUGUCGCUGUACUCCUGUAGGUGGACCUUAAUUUGAGCCAGAUGAGAGAUGGACAUUUCUUGCAUGAAUGGAACCACUCUCCCCACUGCACUCAUGGCCCCCUUCCCUGGCCUCCCAGUUGGUGUUGGUGUGUGGACAGCAAAGUGCAGUCAACAUUGAAAUCGACUGUGUGCUCAGAAUGCCUUGUUUGCAGCCUGAAGGGUUCAAGAGAAGAUUUAAUCGGAAGAUGUGUUGUUCAAUGGUUCUGCUAGAAAAUCCUCAGUGGUUAUUGUAGCAUGACGCCAAGAUGAAUUAUCAUUCACAUUUUCUUGCAUACUCGGGGUUGGACUUGCAUUUGUGGCCACCGUCAACAAAGCACUGUGACAACCUUUGAGAGUGUCACUGGCAGCCAGUUUCACAGGCACAGGAUGUAGGAUGUAAUGUCAUAAACGAUGAUGCAGCAGCACUAAAUAAAUGACAUGAAGAAACUGCAGAGGUCAGAAUUUCUAUAUUGCUUUAAAACAACCAGGUUCUGAACAGCCGUGACACUGUGAAGAAGUUUCCCUAUCCUUUUCUCAUUCUGAGAAAUAAGAAAUGAGCCACGGAUGGCACAUUUGACAACAAGAACGUGAGGAUGUGUUUCCUGGAUGUGAAUUGGAAGAGCUGGUGCCUGGACCCUAGAAGAAUCUUUAUGCACAC